rnacentral:tRNA from 1 species
GUGGGUAUGGCCUAGUUGGUUAGGGCGCCAGAUUGUGGCUCUGGAGGUCAUGGGUUCGAGUCCCAUUAUCCACCCCA